AGCCCGAGGAGCUGAAGGGAUAUUUAUAGGAAAACCGAAGUUGGAAAGGAGCCAUCGCUGGAUGUAGUGACUGUGGCAGAAUGAAUGGUAUAAGGUUGAUCCAACACAGCGUGGCAGAUAAUGAGAGCUAGCUGGCUAGCCUGCCAGGAGGCAACUGGUCCCAGGCAGCGAGGAUUUACGGCACCGACACAGGUCUAAACCAACCCAGGUUCUACAUUUGGCAAUUGUACAGCGAGGGAGCCUGGUUAAAAUAGACUGGGUGAAGAUCCAGAGCCACUUUCAUGUGACAGCAUUGCCUGAAGCACUAUCAAGAAGAAAAAGCCACAUUCCCCACAUGUGAGACUCCCCCUGCAAUCAAGUCAAAGCCAAAAGGUGCUGGGCUUUUGCAAGUAGAGGCUACUCUCGUCACAUUGCUGAGGCUCCGCCCCUGGUCAGCAUAGUAAUGAAAGGUGGACUCGCCAUUGGCCGAGCAGUGUAUGGCGCGGGAUGCGGUCUGUCUCAUUUGCAUGCAGGAAUUAAGGCGGAACCUUUAAGUGAAACCUUGGUCCACGUGUAAUUUAA